UCCAGCCUGGGCCACAGAGUGAGACUCCAUCUCAAAAAAGAAAAAAAAGAAAGAAAACUUGGACCUGCAAUCUGGUUCUGGGUCUGUGGUCCCCUACCAAAUUGCUGAGGGAAUUCAGUAAUGCCUGUGCCCUUAAGCUGGGCUUUAGGUGCCUCUGGGAUAGGCCAGGAAGAAACAUAGGAUUCUGAUGCUGCCAAGUUAUUAACAGAAGGAGGGAAAGGAGGAGGAAGGGAGGAAGGCCAUGGGCGAGACAGGAGGCUGCGGUACUAGUGGGGAUGCAGGGGAGGGGCCAGUGUACAGGAAAGCCCUCUCCGAGAGGGGUCUAGAGGCUCCUCUGAGCCUCUGGGUUUCAAGGAGGAAGAGCCAUUUCCUGGCUUGAACAAUGGAUGCUAGGGAAGAGGUCCAAAGAAGAGGAAGGGGUGGGACCAGCAGCUGUGCUGGAUGUCGAGGAAUCCUAUGUUCAAGUUGAUAGGGGUUUCAGAGGCAGGCCCAGGGGCUGGGGAAAUUCCACAUAGGAGUUCCUUCUCCCCUCACCAAUAACAGCCAACAAUCCAAGAGACACCCCUGCUUACCUUCUCCUCCCACUUCAAACACAUGUGCUUUGGGUUCACCGCAUCAGACUCCCAUCUGGGGAGUUUCUUAAAGUACAUAUACUUAGGCCUCCAGUGGCUGAGGUAACUUUAGCUGGCCAAUCAAGAGGUUUCCUGGCACUAAGAUCAAUAAGACUAAAGUUCUGGUUUUAAAAACAGUGGGCGUUCAGGAGAGAGGAUGCUUAGCCAAGCACUGGGAUGUUAAAAAUCACUGCAGAUCACAGGAAAUGGUACUUACCUACCUGGCUUCCUGCCUUCUACCCCAUAAACACAUAUACACACACACACACGAAGCCAAAA